rnacentral:rRNA from 1 species
GCAAGACCAAAGUGGGGGACUUCGGGCCUCAUGCCAUCAGAUGUGCGCAGAUGGGAUUAGCUAGUAGGUGGGGUAACGGCUCAGGUAGGCGACGAUCCCUAGCUGUUCUGAGAGGAUGACCACACACUGGAACUGACACACGGUCCAGACUCUACGGGAGCCAGCAGUGGGGAAUAUUGCACAAUGGGCGCAAGCCUGAUGCAGCCAUGCCGCGUGUGUGAAGAAGGCUUCGGGUUGUAAAGCACUUUCAGCGGGGAGGAAGGNGAUAAGGUUAAUAACCUUGUCGAUUGACGUUACCCGCAGNAGAAGCAGCCGGCUAACUCCGUGCCAGCAGCCGCGGUAAUACGGAGGGUGCAAGCGUUAAUCGGAAUUACUGGGCGUAAAGCGCACGAGGCGGUCUGUCAAGUCGGAUGNGAAAUCCCCGGGCUCAACCUGGGAACUGCAUUCGAAACUGGCAGGNUAGAGUCUUGUAGAGGGGGGUAGAAUUCCAGGUGUAGCGGUGAAAUGCGUAGAGAUCUGGAGGAAUACCGGUGGCGAAGGCGGCCCCNUGGACAAAGACUGACGCCCAGGUGCGAAAGGUGGGGAGCAAACAGGAUUAGAUACCCUGGUAGUCCACGCCGUAAACGAUGUCGAUUUGGAGGUUGUGCCCUUGAGGCGUGGCUUCCGGAGCUAACGCGUUAAAUCGACCGCCUGGGGAGUACGGCCGCAAGUUAAAACUCAAAUGAAUUGACGGGGGCCCGCACAAGCGUGGAGCAUGUGGUUUAAUUCGAUGCAACGCGAAGAACCUUACCUGGUCUUGACAUCCACAGAACUUUCCAGAGAUGGAUUGGUCUUCGGGAACUGUGAGACAGGUGCUGCAUGGCUGUNGUCAGCUCGUGUUGUUAAGUCCCGCAACGAGCGCAACCNUUAUCCUUUGUUGCCAGCGGAUAGGCCGGGAACUCAAAGGAGACUGCCAGUGAUAAACUAGGAAGGUGGGGAUGACGUCAAGUCAUAUGGCCCUUACGACCAGGGCUACACACGUGCUACAAUGGCAUAUACAAAGAGAAGCGACCUCGCGAGAGCAAGCGGACCUCAUAAAGUAUGUCGUAG